rnacentral:rRNA from 1 species
UACGUAGGGUCCGAGCGUUGUCCGGAAUUAUUGGGCGUAAAGAGCUCGUAGGCGGUUCGCUAAGUCGGGUGUGAAACCUCCAGGCUCAACCUGGAGACGCCACCUGAUACUGGUGUGACUCGAGUCCGGUAGGGGAGCGUGGAAUUCCUGGUGUAGCGGUGAAAUGCGCAGAUAUCAGGAGGAACACCAGCGGCGAAGGCGGCGCUCUGGGCCGGAACUGACGCUGAGGAGCGAAAGCGUGGGUAGCAAACAGG